CAGCAGAGACACAUGGUGGAGAGACGUGUGUUCCUCCAGGACCGUUGAAGAGCAGCAGCCUGUUGGAACAAAUGUGGUCCAGGAAAUCCAGUAUGAUCUUCUGGUUUUCCUCCGCGCCGAUGAAACGGUUCCACUUAUCCGUCUUUACUCGGAGGAUGCAGAAGGCCUGCUCGCGAAGGAAGUCCACUCUUUCAUCUGAUAUGACAACCCCAGCCUUGAGAGGGGACUCCUGUGGUACGCGCACUCCUCCCGCACUUCCGCUGCCUAACGCCCGACUUUUACCGGUGCUGCUCUUGGACUCGGCCAUGGAGACUCAGCUGAUGAGAAGGAAAAAGAGGGAAAUAAACACCGCCUGUGAAACCUGAAAAGAAAAUCCCACAGAUUAUGAUAAAAGCUCUGAGCCCUGUAAGCUGGAAAACUGAUACACCUUGAUGGGCAAGUUAUCUUCUCUCAGUGUGGACUCACUUCAUUAUCCUGCAACUCUAUCCUGUAACCAGAGCCUUCACAGGAGAUCUCACUACAGUGACACCUACAGGACAGCGCUCACAGCACCCUCUGCUGGACUACGCAGUAAUUACUUCAUGGACUGAUGCACUUCCAGGCUGUAUGCGUUGAGUUCUUCAGUUUCCAGAACAUCCCCGCCAAGUUUGAACGGAGGGACACACGGAGGGGAGGAAUUGAGCCCAUCGGGGGCCGGGGGACGCCGCGAGUCUAAUACAGGCCAAAUAUGAUAUGGUGUCAAUGCGGGGGCUUUUAUUCUGAAGAGUUGUGUUCCGUCAUCUGGCAAAUACACAACACUCCAGUGGUUGCGUAUCACUUCUGAUGCUGCGACGGAGAUGCCACGCGACAGAUUCACAUUCCGUGGAAUCCCGGGGAAGACGCUUUGAAAUCCUAUCUGAGGAACUGAGGUAUUCAGAUCUGUAAACACCACCUCCAUAUGUGUUUUUUCAAGCUAGAUAUGCUUCAAAGUCUGAUUUGGGGACUAAGACACACCCAGGGUGACACACCCACACCCACAGACACCCAUACCUGCACAGCAACAGUGCAUCGGUGCGUCAUCGCAUCACAGGUUUUGCAACACAAAUGUUCGAGGGAUGAAACGUUGCACACAUCACAGAUUAUCAUCAUAUAGAGUGCAGGACAUAUGUUAAGUGUUAAAGCUGUAGUGCGUAACCUUUAAAUGUAAAC